UGCAGCUGUAUGCCCAGGAAAAACGAAGAGAAGAAAAUGAAACCCAGGAGGGGCACAGUAGCUCUCACAAGGGAUGGGAGCAAGAAGGAAGGGUUAAAAGAGAACGGUGCAGUGGACUGGGAUAGAUACAACACCACGUGUCAACCCUGGCCUUUCAUUGUGAUGGCAGGAGAGGAAACGGCAUGGGGGUCGCAGUCAUCUGUGGAUAAUGUGUCAGUUAUUGUUCUUGGCAGGCAGUGAGGGCAUCAUGCCACGCCUGAGAGUGUCUGCUUGCCAGCAAGCCCUGGAGAGCUGAUCUUAGGCUCGCUUCAGUUCCUGGGUGGGAUUACGUCACUGUUUUUCAGCAGCGAACUUUCUCAGAUGGAACACACCCAACCUCACAGGCACCCAGGAGUUCUUGCAUAGCAUGGCCCAGGCUCUACUCAAGAAAUGCAGCCCAAUCCCGCAGGCUCACAACUCAGACUUUCGAAGAAUAUGCCCCAACAAAUCUGGGUAAAGGGUCUGAAAAUUGUUUAUACUCUUUUGGUUAAUUUUUCUAUAACUGUGAAAUUAUAUCAAAAUUAAAAACAUAAUAAAAUGCCCAAUAAACAUAGCGCAAUUAAGAGUGACUAUUCGGGCCGGGCGCGGUGA